rnacentral:rRNA from 1 species
UUAUACAGCGAAACUGCGAAUGGCUCAUUAUAUAAGUUAUCGUUUAUUUGAUAGUACCUUACUACAUGGAUAACCGUGGUAAUUCUAGAGCUAAUACAUGCUAAAAAUCCCGACUUCGGAAGGGAUGUAUUUAUUAGAUUAAAAACCAAUGCCCUUCGGGGCUAACAGGUGAUUCAUAAUAACUUCUCGAAUCGCAUGGCCUUGUGCCGGCGAUGGUUCAUUCAAAUUUCUUCCCUAUCAACUUUCGAUGUUUGGGUAGUGGCCAAACAUGGUGGCAACGGGUAACGGAGGGUUAGGGCUCGACCCCGGAGAAGGAGCCUGAGAAACGGCUACUACAUCCAAGGAAGGCAGCAGGCGCGCAAAUUACCCAAUGCUGACUCAGCGAGGUAGUGACAAUAAAUACUGAUACAGGGCUCUUUUGGGUCUUGUAAUCGGAAUGAGUACAAUUUAAAUCCCUUAACGAGGAACAAUUGGAGGGCAAGUCUGGUGCCAGCAGCCGCGGUAAUUCCAGCUCCAAUAGCGUAUAUUAAAGUUGUUGUGGUUAAAAAGCUCGUAGUUGAACCUUGGGCCUGGCUGGCCGGUCCGCCUCACCGCGUGUACUGGUCCGGCCGGGCCUUUCCCUCUGUGGAACCCCAUGCCCUUAACUGGGUGUGGCGGGGAAACAGGACUUUUACUUUGAAAAAAUUAGAGUGCUCCAGGCAGGCCUAUGCUCGAAUACAUUAGCAUGGAAUAAUAGAAUAGGACGUGUGGUUCUAUUUUGUUGGUUUCUAGGACCGCCGUAAUGAUUAAUAGGGACAGUCGGGGGCAUCAGUAUUCAAUUGUCAGAGGUGAAAUUCUUGGAUUUAUUGAAGACUAACUACUGCGAAAGCAUUUGCCAAGGAUGUUUUCAUUAAUCAGGAACGAAAGUUAGGGGAUCGAAGACGAUCAGAUACCGUCGUAGUCUUAACCAUAAACUAUGCCGACUAGGGAUCGGGCGAUGUUACUAUUUGACUCGCUCGGCACCUUACGAGAAAUCAAAGUGCUUGGG